UUGCUAUGCUGCCCGGGCUGGUCUUGAACCCCUGGCUUCAAGCAGUCUUCCAGCUUCAGCCACACAAAGUGUGGGGAUUACAGAAGGUAACAUCAUCACAGAUUCAGGAGGAAAGAAACGCUUUCUGUUGAAGUUUUGAUAUCAUGUCUGAAAUGAGAAGGAAACAGCUUGCUCCCUUGGAUCCGUGGUUCCUCCUGUUGCCUCUAGAGGGCGAUGUUGCAUCAAGUAGGCAUCUGUUUUCAUCGCAGACCAUCCUCAUCCAUUGAGCCUCCUCCCUGUAGCUGGCUGAUGUAGCUCGUUGAUGUCUGUGUGGAUAGGGAGCUGUGACGAGAGCAAGAGGUCAGAACACAUCCAGGCUCCUUAAGGGAAAGCCUCUUUCUGUUUCUGAAACUUUUCAAAGCCAGGGACUUGUCCAAUCCAACCUCCUCACAGUUCCUAGCUCCUGAGGCUCAGCGCCCUUGGCUUCUGUCCGCCCAGCUUAAGGUCCUGCAGCAUUGCCACUGCUCAGCCAUGCUCCUGCUGCUCGUCCCAGCGUUCCAGGUGAUUUUUACCCUGGCAUUGAUGUUGCAGGAGGAACCAGAGCCCAGUCUGUGACCCAGCUUGACAGCCAAGUCCCUGUCUUUGAAGAAGCCCCUGUGGAGCUGAGGUGCAACUACUCAUCGUCUGUUUCAGUGUAUCUCUUCUGGUAUGUGCAAUACCCCAACCAAGGACUCCAGCUUCUCCUGAAGUAUUUAUCAGGAUCCACCCUGGUUGAAAGCAUCAACGGUUUUGAGGCUGAAUUUAACAAGAGUCAAACUUCCUUCCACUUGAGGAAACCCUCAGUCCAUAUAAGCGACACGGCUGAGUACUUCUGUGCUGUGAGUGACACAGUGCCUGAGACUGCAGGAGAGCUGAA
rnacentral:lncRNA from 1 species